GUGGUUCUCACCUACCUUUGUCCCUCCGUGCUCCCUUUUCCUUCCUGCAGGCUGGAAUGAGGCUGUGAGGCUCCAGCAGCCGUUUUGUGCCACGAGGCAGUAGAAACCUGGGUUCCUGAUGACUGUGGAGCUGCCGAACUAAUCUGGACCUCCAGAUUCCAUACCUGCAAGACACAUGAACAUCUGUCUUAUGCCGUGGAAACAGAAAUCUAGUGGAGGAUUCUGAUCCCUAGGGAAUGUAGGGCCACUGGACCCAAUUGCCCUAUAAUCUUGUGUGGUAUUUCCCUGCCCCUGCUCAACUUCAUUGGAUGGUGGAACUGGAAGUGCUGGAGAUGAGCUGCUGUGGCUGUAUGGACAAAGGCAAGAUCCUAUGGGAUGGCCAAGCAACCAGACAGAAGAACUCUUGAGACCUUGAGGAAAAGAACUGCCCGCAACUGCUCUUGACACUCUCUCCCUCUGGCCUGUUGUGUGGGAG
rnacentral:lncRNA from 10 species